rnacentral:lncRNA from 1 species
ACUUUUUAAUGCAGAAAAACCCAAGAAAAGAUCAUAAACAGAGGGUGGAGCUCAGCUGAGUUACCGCACUCGAAACUGAAAAAUGCUUUGAUAAGCCAAAUCCUCUUCCCAUUCACUCCGUUUUCCCCACCCCUUAACCGCAUAACAUGUUUCCAAUGUAGGGUGAUCGAAAAAGCCACGAGCUGUGAAAGAGGAGCGGCUGAGCCCGACUGAGCCGCUGCACCAA